rnacentral:rRNA from 1 species
UACGUAGGAGGCGAGCGUUGUCCGGAAUUACUGGGCGUAAAGAGCGUGUAGGCGGCACGGUACGACCGGUGUGAAAGCCCCCGGCUCAACUGGGGAGGGUCACCGGUAACGGCCGAGCUAUGAGUGCAGGAGAGGGAAGUGGAACUCCGGGAGUAGCGGUGAAAUGCGUAGAGACCCGGAGGAACACCAGUGGCGAAGGCGGCGUCCUGGCCUGCGACUGACGCUGUGGCGCGAAAGCUAGGGGAGCGAACGGG